rnacentral:tRNA from 1 species
GAGGGUAUAGCUCAAGUGGUAGAGUGCAUGCUUGUACAUGCAUGAGGUCCUGGGUUCAAUCCCUAGUACCUCCU